UACGUAGGGGGCAAGCGUUAUCCGGAAUUAUUGGGCGUAAAGAGUACGUAGGUGGCAACCUAAGCGCAGGGUUUAAGGCAAUGGCUCAACCAUUGUUCGCCCUGCGAACUGGGAUGCUUGAGUGCCGGAGAGGUAAGCGGAAUUCCUAGUGUAGCGGUGAAAUGCGUAGAUAUUAGGAGGAACACCAGUGGCGAAGGCGGCUUACUGGACGGCAACUGACGCUGAGGCUCGAAAGCGUGGGGAGCAAACAGG
rnacentral:rRNA from 1 species